ACUAACUUCAGCUCGCAUUUUCAUGCCUUCAACAAGCACAAAGCAAUGACUUGUAUAACCCUCUAAAAAUCAAAAACUAUAUUUCUUAAUAGCUUUUACAUUACAUAUAACUAAGUUAAAAAAUACAAACAAAGAAACAUUAAAAAAUCAAAACACACAAACAUUUCAUUAAAAAAAUUCAAGGAGAGUUCACAUUGACACAAAUCAUAUAUGUAUAUAUAUGAUAAAUGUAAUCACUUAUCAUUUUCUGUGUAACAAAUUACAUAAACCAUCAUAAAAAAAACUACAAACCUCUACCCAUAACACCAUACACAAUUAUUCUUAUAUAUAAUAAUUAAAUUAAAUCUAUAAAACAAGCAAUUAAACAAACACUCUCCACUACUCCUAAAUAGAAAGGACCAAUAUGAAACAAAACAAGAAAAAGGUUGAAACUUUUCAGGCACAAGCUUCUUUUCUGGCUACAUAAACAAACAAGGAAUCAAGAUCAGGUGGUUGGAAGUACCCUUCCUUUGGUGGAGGUCGUCUCAUUCCGACAACCGGCUUCUUCCUCGGCGGCGGUGGUGGACAAAUGAAAACCGCUGGAAUUUGAUUCUGCAACAAUCUUGGUGUUCUACACUCAUCUUCCAUGGCACCAAACUCAACAAAUUCACAAUUCAACUAUAUUUUCAGUAACCCUUUUGCCCCUUCUCUCCAAAAUCACAAUAAAAAUGUGAACUUUACACUUUCAACUUUUCAAGGUUUAGACAUUGAAUUGAAAGUGUUUUUUCAUGAGAAGGGUAUAUAUAAUAAGAAAAAAAUAAAUAACUAAUGU
rnacentral:lncRNA from 1 species